CACGCCUGUUGCAAAGGGAGGACCAAAGCCAUUUCAAGGCUAGAAUCACAGCAAUGGGAUGGACAGAUGGGGAAGUUCAAAGAAUAUAUGGAUACAGUGAAAAUCCCCUCAAUUCUCACUUAUCAAACAGCAACCACUGCAAGCAACAGAAGUCUGUUCCACUGUUGAUCAGUAAGCAGGUCGUUGACAUUCCCACCUUCACCCCUAUGACUGCAAGGGGGAAUUGUGGAAGAAACUCUGCUUCUAACUGUCACACUAAAUAUCGCUCAAGGAAUAGAGUGGCAAAACAUCCGUAAGAUUUUUCUCUAUGACAGGGGAACAGACCCUUGCCACUCACACUGCUGCCCCACAAGUGAGGAUGGGUGGGAGAGCUGGGAGAUACUACUUAGCUACAUGACUAAGAUGCUACUUAGCUAAGUAGGUGGUACCAAGUCGCAGCCUGCAAAUCUCUGAACAUUUUGGUGUAUGCGCUUUUAACAAUGGAAACCCUGUUAAACAUAUAAUGUGUAAGGUUAAAAUGCAGAAUAUCAUUUUAACCUAGUGUUUCAUGUUUUGUUGGUGUCAUUAACACUUCAGCUGCUACAAUAAUGUAUUGAAACUACAAAAGAAUAGAUCUAAUGCAUUUUACACACUUAUUCAAGCAUGAUAUAACAAUGUACAUGUGCCAACAUAAAACCCCCCAAAAUGAAUUAAGAGAAAUUUUUGCAUGUAAUAAUUACAGAAAUAAAGUAAAACUCUAAUUAUAUUAUCUAGCUAAGUUAUCUUCAUUAUUUCUCAAUCCUGAAUCCAGCUGCAAUUCCAGAUUACAAAAUAGGAACCACUUU
rnacentral:lncRNA from 1 species